CCUACGGGUGGCAGCAGUGAGGAAUAUUGGUCAAUGGCCGGAAGGCUCAACCAGCCAAGCCGCGUGAAGGACGAAGGUGCCAAGCAUUGUAAACUUCUUUUGUCAAGGGACAAAAUCAGGCUCGAGAGCCUGACCGAGGGUACUUGAAGAAAAAGCAUCGGCUAACUCCGUGCCAGCAGCCGCGGUAAUACGGAGGAUGCGAGCGUUAUCCGGAUUUACUGGGUGUAAAGGGAGCGUAGGCGGGAUGGCAAGUUGGGUGUUAUAUCUACCGGCUCAACUGGUAGUCGCACUCAAAACUGCUAUUCUUGAGGGAAGUAGAGGCAGGCGGAAUUCCUAGUGUAGCGGUGAAAUGCGUAGAUAUUAGGAGGAACACCAGUGGCGAAGGCGGCCUGCUGGGCUUUUACUGACGCUGAGGCUCGAAAGUGUGGGGAGCAAACAGGAUUAGAUACCCGAGUAGUC
rnacentral:rRNA from 1 species